UACGUAGGGUGCGAGCGUUGUCCGGAAUUAUUGGGCGUAAAGAGCUUGUAGGCGGUUUGUCGCGUCUGCCGUGAAAAUUCGAGGCUCAACCUCGAACUUGCGGUGGGUACGGGCAGACUAGAGUGUGGUAGGGGAGACUGGAGUUCCUGGUGUAGCGGUGAAAUGCGCAGAUAUCAGGAGGAACACCGAUGGCGAAGGCAGGUCUCUGGGCCACUACUGACGCUGAGAAGCGAAAGCAUGGGGAGCGAACAGG
rnacentral:rRNA from 1 species